rnacentral:lncRNA from 1 species
AAGCAGCUGACUUCAGGGCUAGGCUGGUCUCCAGCAUCAUAAGAGCAAAGGCAUGCUUUGUGGUUACAGAUUGGCACUGGAGCGGCCCUCCCUCCCUCUCUUUUGGGGACCUCGAGGGUCCAGGGGCGAGGGGAGCCGUGCCAGCAGCCUGCCUCAGUGUGUGUUCUCUGAGCACCUCGUGACCUUGCUGGGAGUGUGUCUGAUCAGCCGCUUCCCUUGUGACCAAAUAUUUGGUCAUGGCAGCAGGAGAGAAUUCCAUCAGUGGACAGCUCUAUUUUUAAGGCUCUGGCUUUGUUUUCUCUUUCCUGAGAGGCAGUCCCUGCAGCAGGCUUGAGCCUCUCUCACUGACAGCCUGCCUCGCAUAAUGUUAAGCAGGCAUCGGACACUUGCUGGAAGGCAGGGAAUUGCAAUGAAAGAGCACGGAGGUGAGAAGCUGUGCUCCUUGGGGUGAAGGCAGCUUCUGUGCUCCUGGGAUCUACUGUUAAGCCAGGGUGACGCCAGCUUGCAUGCUACCGGAGGGGAAGAGAAAAUUUGGACACACAGGGAGAAAACCACAGGGAGGAGAUGGCCAUCUACAAUUCCAGAAAAGCAGCCUCAGAAGAAACCAAUCUGCAAACAUCUUUAUCUGCAACUCCCUGCCUCCCAAAUGGAGUAAAGAGACAGAAAGGGAAUGAAUUUCCAAGAAGACCAGCGUAGAACGGAAAAAUAUCAGAGGAGGGAGAAUUGUUAAGGAUUUCCAGUAUCUCAAGUGUGGAUGCUGUCCUGAGCUGACCCAAGGCUCUGGAAAGGACACAGAACACAUUUAUGAGUCUUUUCACCCUCAUUUCGUUGAAGAUUUUAUUGGCCGAAGAACCCUCAGUAGGCACGAAAUUCAUUCUCACAAGCAGAGAGAUGCAUUAUGCUCCAUUUAUUGCUCAUCCUAAAUUAUAAACAUUUCCAGUGAAUGUAAAGGAAGAUAUGAUUGAAAAGGACUCUGUGAAGACAGGAUGUUUCUGUACAGUCCUUGUAUCUGCUCACCUAUUCCAAACUUUCCAGAGAUUUUACCAGAGGUUUAAGAUAUUCUCCUGAGGGUUUGCUGUAGAGAGAUUUUUCUUAACUAAGGAGUGCAAGUAGCAAGCAAUAGCCCACCCAGUUGGAGACAAAAAAGAAGGGUGUCAGUGUUCCCACUGUUAAAAAACAAAAAAAAAUCACCCUGGACACCUCUGAGAAUUAUACAAGGGGAUGUACACAGCCCUGCUUUAUUUGAGUUCAAAAGGAAGGUGGGUUUUGAAAGAAGAACAAGGAGAGUAGAUCUCUCUGGAUCUUCUGAUGCUCACAGCAAAGAGCUCAAGGUAUCUGAGUCAACUCUUGAGGCUUCUUCGAACAGAGGGAUGAAGAGAGAAUAUGGCAAGCUUGCCAACAGAUCCCAGAAGUUUUAAGAGAAAAGAACAGAUUGCUCUUUGCAAAACAAACCGAGCUGGGUGCAUGGAGCCCCAGUAGACAGAAAGUGAAGAAAACAUCAACGUUCUGAAGUUUUAGAUAGGUGCACCAUCCCUUAUGGAUACCAAUCUGUGCUCCCCAUAAACUUCUGUGCCCAGGGUCAACUGGCCAGGGACAACUGGCUCACCAGGAGGCCUACAUAGCCUCUUCUUCAGGCCCUAAUUACAGCUCUAUGCAAUAGGGACUCUGCCAUCUGACAGCCAAGGAGGUGGUUCGGUUUCUGCACAUGGUUUUUUCCGCUGGGUCCCUUGAGGUCCAUGGUAACCUCUUCCUCAUUCUCUACAGGCAGAUCACACUUUGUAAUAAGAUCAGAGGCAGAGAACUUUGACCAGAUCACACUUUAUAAUAAGAUCAGAGGCAAAGAACUCUGACCAGAUCACACUUUAUAAUAAGAUCAGAGGCAGAGAACUUUGACAACUAUCUCCUUGCCCUCUGGCCCUGGGGUCAGGGCUACUCAAACAACACCUGCUGUCCCAAACCCGGAGAAGUGUAGAUUUUGGCACUGGUAGAGGAAUAACAGCUAUUGUUGACACUUAAUCUUGUGGGCCUGGAAUUUCAACUAUGUUUUCACAACUCGGAGCCUAUUGCUGCCACCUCUGUCAGGGAAGAUAAAUGGGCAUGAAUAAUAGACAGAUGAGUUUCCCAAAAGCCCAGACAGGCUGCAGGGAACACGUAAUGAGCAGACAGUGUGGUUCACGCCGGGGAGCCCAGGUUUAUCCAGGCCUCAUCCUCACUCCCUUUCUCUACUGAUAAUUGGACCCAACAGGACCAUUCCGAAUCAUUUUUCUCUCUUCAGUUAUUCUUCAGUUCUACUCAAAGGGUCAGUUUAGGGCAUAAUUAAAGUCAAUUACUUUCUGAAAGGCCAUCAGGACAACUGUUAGAGAAAAUGAUAGCAGCCCCGCACUUGCUGUAGGAAUUAUUAGCUUGUCAGCCUCCAGGCUUAUGGAGACAAAGGAUCAAAAAGUUAGAGAGAUCCAGGUGUUCACCUAUUUGUUCACUAAUUCUUUUAUUGUGAGUGUGCAUGUGUGUGGGUGGGUGUGACAUUUAUUAUGAACCAGAGGGCAGGAGCCAGUGACACAGUGGUGCAGAGAAUAAUCAUAUUCCCUGCCUUCCUGGGGUCAUACAGCUUGGUGGAGGACACAGAUGUGAAUUCGGUAAUCACUCCAAUAAAUAUUCUCCUACAGAUGAAGAAAGAUGAUACGAUGUGAUGGACAACAGAGACUUAUAUGGUGGGGUCUGGGCUGGUCUUUCUGAAGCUAAGACUGGCAGGAUGAGCAGGAGUUUGCCAGACAAAGAGGAGUGGAGUUGUUUUCCAAACACAUCUCAGCACAAAGUGUUGUCUUUGCUGGGAGCUGAAAAAAGAUAGUGUGGGCAGAGACCAUUAGGUGAGACGCUUGAUAUGAGAUACAACCUCAACAGGUGGAAGAAGAUCAUGAGAGAUGAAGAGAGGAAUAUAGUACAGCAGAGAGGACACAGAAGCUGACGUCAGGGUGUCUCAGUUUGAAACCAGUGGCCACCCUGUUCCUCUCCCAUGUGGUCCCAUCAUGGGCCUCUAGGGUCUGGGAUAAGAGGUUAAUGAAUAUCUCAUACCCUAAGCAGGGGUGGUCCCUGCACUUUAGCAAAAAGUUAAGGAACUAGGGAAAAGAGAUGGAAAUAAUAAAGAGAUGGGACAAAGACUUUGAAGACCAAAGCCCCUGGGCUAUUCUCUUUUUUAAAUUUUUUUAUUUAAAUUUUCAUUUAUUUUUAUCAAGAUAGGGUCUCACUAUGUUGCCCAGGUUGGUCUCAAACUUUUGGCCUAAAGCAAUCCUCCCACCUUGGCCUCCCAAUGUGCUGGGAUUACAAUGUGAGCCACCACGUCCAGCCUCCUGGGAUAUUUCUCAAUGAAACAUUGGAUGCCAAGAUUGGUUUUGUGCCACAUGCCAAUUUCACAGAAGCCAGUCUAUGAGCCACCAGCUCUACUCAGCAAUUACAGUUUCUGGAACUUUGGCUAAAUUCCUGUAGAUGCACCACUGCUUGUGGCCUGACUCUUUGCCACCCAAGUGCGCUCAGCCUCCCCUGGGGAGUCUGCCAGGCUUGCAUGGCUCCCACUGCACUUGCUGUGCUGGGACCGAAAACAGUUUUUGUGCCCCUAGCUUAACUCCACUGGAUUCAUAGAGGCUUUGGCCUCCUCAAUGGCUGUCCUGGGACAGGGAGGCUGGUUAGCACAAUUAACACAACCUGGUCAUGCAAGGCAUUGAUGGUCCGUAACAUGAACUUUGACCAGUAGGAGACAGAGAAUGGAAAAAAGCCAGCAGAUAAAUCAUCUGGCCUUCCUCCCCUAUGACAGACUGUUCUGAGCCACAGUGUUUCACAUGUCUUCCUGGAGAUGUCCCACAUGACUUGAGCAACCAGCUGGAGCUCUGGAGAAACUGUGGCCAUCCUGGUAACAUAUGACCUUGUAUUUGCUUUCUCUCCUUCCUGCUUUAUUUCCCUAUGUCCCUUACUUUGGUUGUUGGGAUUGCACCUCCCAAUAAAGCAUUAGCAUGUCCGCUCUGCUUGGGGCUCUGUUUCCUGGGUUAAGACUCUGACUCUUGAAUGCUGAGGCAUUGUAUUGAGAAGGAGUUCAGGCUGGACUCACACCUGGUGAACAAGAGUGCUGUGGUGCGUGAGUGAGUUCUUCCACAGGUAUAAGAAAAGAUACUUAGUACCUGCCACCCCUGAACUAUCCUUUUACGGCAAAUGUUUGCUUAAAGUCAGCAGUCCCCUAAACAUACUUGAGAUCACAGAUGAAGCAAAAUCAGACUAUCUCCCAACAUAGAAAAGCACAAUAGGAAAGAAAUAUUUGGUGGUGAGAAGAUUAUAGCUAUAAGCAAAUUAGGCAAUCCAUCUGUGAGACCCAGCAUGCAGUAUGGUAGAAGUUGAAAAUAAAAACAUGGAUAAAAUUGCUUAAUGGAUUAUAAUAAUAUGCAUGACUGUGUGCCAGGCAGUGUACUAAGACUUUCUUGUUUCAUCCCAUUUGCUUAUUAUAACAGUACUAUAAGACAUGCACUCUUACAAACCCUUAUUUUACAGAGGAAGAAACAGGCCCAGAGAAGUUGGGUAACUCAUCAAAGGUCACAGAGCUAAGAGUGGCAGAGUCAGGCCUGGAGCCCAGGAAGUCUGGUUUCGAAUUUCAUGCUUCUAACCUGAGCACUGUACUGCUUGGUGGAGUUCUCUGCUAGUCCUACCUUUCAGGCAGAGGUGAGCAUUGCUGAGAUUACAUGCCUGUUCCUGGGGGCUAAUACCAGGAGGGAGAUUAGACUGUUCUGUCUAAUCUGUAGUUUGGCUCUUCCAUGAGUCUUGGGAUCAGAACCCUGAAUCAGAGAGAGAUGGACACUGGCCUAGGCAGAUGUGAUGGUCUGAAUGUGUUUCCCACAAAGCAUGUAUUAGAAAUGUAAUCCCCAACUCAACAGUGUCAGGAGGUGGGGCUUAAUGGGAGGUGUCUAGGUUAUGGGGGCUCCACACUCUUGAAUGGAUUAAUGUCCAUUAUAAAAGGACCUGAGGCUGUGAGUUCCAUCUCUUGCUUUUUCUCCGUCUUUCGCCCUCUUGCCUUCUGCCACAGGUGAUGCAGCAAGAAAGCUGCCACCAGAUGCAGCCCCUUGAUCUCGGACUGCCCAGCCUCUAGAACUGUGAGCCAAUUAAAUUUUUCCUUUGUAAAUUACCUAGUCUCUGGUAUCCUGUUAUAGCAGCAUAAACAGGCUAAGAUAGUAAGACAGUAGGGAAACAAGCUCCAGAUGUACUUGAAGUCUCUUGUUCUUAUUUUAGGAGUUGAAGAGCAAUUCCCUCCAGUUUCCAUUAGAAAUGCUUCUUCUUCCAUAUCAAAUAUUGUGAGAUAGCCUGAAACACCUUUCAACACUUUACUACCCUUCUCCAAAAUUCAACAGAUAUGAUUUCCACGGACUUUACUCACAGGGGCUUCAGUAGAAGAGGAAGAGGCUUGGGUUUAAUUGAAGGUGGCCUGAGACAUCUGUGAGGAACAGCCCUUUUAGAGACAUAUCCCCUACAAAUAAAGCAUCAGAAUUAUUAUCCUAAUACAUGAACAUCCAUGGUUCCUUCAGCACCAUCGUAAUGCAGAGACCAUGGGGAGAUGCAGGGAGAGGGCUCUGCACAGCAUGGCCAACUUGCCGGGUUGAAAACAGACAACCUCCAUGGAGCAGGGACUUCAAUUAGUUAAUUCCCCAUCCCCACUGUCACUUACUAACAUGGGAUUCUGAUUAAAAAUUAGAUUCUCUGCAAGAGGCUUAACUUAUAAUUUAAGAACUUUUGCUGUAUAACCAUUGCAAAAACAAUUACAUAAAGAUUAAUUAGCAAAUUCCCAAAACAGUAGUAAACGGCAAAGUAGUUUAAUUAAAACCAUUAUCUCCAAAAUCUGAACGUUAAUAACAGUUGUAGCUCAGGGAGAAAUAAGAGGCACACUGGCACAGAGUGGGGUAAAGGGAGGGUGUCCUUCGACACCAGCAUUCAGUCAGCCCAAGUCUCCACGGCUGCUGUCCUGUUAAUUACACUCCAGAACUCUGUGGCCACCGCGUCUUGAGAGGCCCUGGGCUCCUCCUAUGAGCCUCUGCAGCUGUAGCCUUGACGAACUUGUCAUUGCUGGCCUGCCUCCAACAAGAGGCCUUUAGCCCUCAGAAGAGAGGGAGGCAGCAGGGGGCACGAACAAGACUUUUAAGUGGGGAAUUCAUAAAAUUUGGAAUUGUCAGAAAACAUCUGUAACCAUGACUCUUGUCCUUCAGAAGACACUGAUAAAUUUAACCCAACCCAGACCCCUUAACACAAACUCUGAAGUAAAAGAUUGGCAAAGGAAGCCCAUGAGAAUGAAAUGUAACAAUAGCAACUAUGUAGUUAGCACACACACCAUAUGAUCUCACACAUUCACAAGAUCCUCAUGAAGCCACAUGGCCUUCAUUCUGUUAUUAUUUACUUAUUUAUUUAUGAGACAGGGUCCCACUCUGUUGCCCCAGUUGGAGUCAGUGGCACAAGGCAGUGUGCAGUGCUCAGUGCAGCCUCUAACUCCUGGCUCAAGUGAUCCUCCUACCCCAGAGUCCUGAGGGGCUGGGACUACAAGCACAUGCCACUAAGCUCAGCUAAUUUUUUUUCUUUUUUAAUUUUUUGUAGAGAUAGGGUCUGACUACAUUGCCCAGGCUGGUCUCAAACUCCUAGCCUCAAAUGAUCUUCCUGCCUCAGCCUCUCAAAGUGCUGGGAUUACAUGCGUGAGCCACUGCAUGCUGCCAUAUUAUUUUUAUUCUUAAGCUAAAGUCACUCACUUAGCCUCGUGCAUGGGGACCCUUCUCUUUUUAACUCUAAAGCCCAUUUGUUUACCUGGAUACCACACAGAUGCCCUUUGUGGUGCAACAUUUAGCCCAUUGAAGGCUAAUUAUGUGAGUCUCACAAUUGUGUGAGUCUGUCAUGAAGUAUAGCCUAGACUUGACAAUGAUUGAUUUCUCCAAAGAACCCCUUCAGCAGGGAGAUCCCAAAUCAGAGAGCCCUUGCCCUUACCCAGGACAGCCAAUGUCUCUGCAGCUCCACACGGAGCACCAGCUACCGUGGAGGGGUUGACCUGGGCCUGGAGUCCAGGACAGGCUGAGGAAUGCCCUUCCCCCAGCCCUCUCCCUGAGUGUCAGUCCCUGAGUUAGACACUGUCACAGGAGAGGGCUUGGAAGCCACCUUCUGACUCACCACACCCAUCCCAGCCAUGCCCCCUCACCCUGGCAAGCACCCAGGGGCUGUAUGUUGAUUUGUCUCUCCCCUAAUACAAGGCCCUGACCUCCACCAGCAGAGCCAGACUGUCUGCCUGCAAGCCUGGCUUUUUAUUCUGCUGCACUACAGAAAUUAUGCAAAUCACAGCUAUUAGUAUAACAGCUUUUGCAGAAUUCAGAAGAAAAAGGCAAAAAAAAAAAAAAAAACCACACAAUCACAAAAUCCCUAUGUUUGGUUAAAAGACCAUGAAUUUCCCCAUUGUCCUCACUCACUCUCUUGUCAAUAUGAGAUGUAUACAUCUGAAGCCUGCUUUUCAGUCUUAUGAACAUCUAUAAAAGAGACAUCAGUCAGCAGAAACCUCUGGUACUGCGACAUGAAAGAGAAUGAGGGAAAAACCCAACUCUAGCCAGGAUGGAGAAGAGAGGAAAGGCAAGAUGUGGGAGGCAGCCCCAGAAGGCCCAGGCGGGGUCUCUAGAGGAACCUAAGAAGACUCUGGUGUGGGACAAAGCUCCAAUGUGCUCUGAGCACUCUCGCUGUCCUUCCAGAGGGCCUCGUUCCCCUUCUCAUUCAUCUCACUCACCACAC